GACGAACGCUGGCGGCGUGCUUAACACAUGCAAGUCGAACGGAUAGGCCCUGCUUUUGUUGUGUGCUCGAUUUGCGAACGUGUGAUUAACACGUGUGUAACCUGCCCUUGACUUUGUUAUAACUUCAGGUAACUGGGGCUAAUACCGUAUAGGUGCUCCUGCUUCAUUGUUGGUGUUGUACAUUUUCGGCGGUUGGGGAUGGACUCGCGGCUUAUCAGCUUGUUGUUGGGGUAGUGGCUUACCAAGGCUUUGACGGGUAGCCGGCAUGAGAGGGUGAACGGCCAAAAUGGGACUGAGAUACGGCACAGAAUGCUACGGGAGGCAGAAGUGGGGAAUAAUGCAAAAUGGGAGGAAGCAUGAUGCAGAAAGGAGGCGAGCGGGAUGAAGGACUUCGGGUUGUAAACAGAUUUAGAAUGUGACGAAGAGUGAGUGACGGUAAGGGGUAAAGAAGCACCGGCUAACUACGUG
rnacentral:rRNA from 1 species